CCAAUAGCGUAUAUUAAAGUUGUUGCAGUUAAAAAGCUCGUAGUUGAAUUUCGGGAUCAAGGGAUCGGUCAUGCCUUGGUAUGUACUGGUCUUAUUGGUUCUCACCUUCUAAAGAACCAUGAUGUCAUUCAUUUGAUGUUAUGGGGAAUUAGGACUGUUACCUUGAAAAAAUUAGAGUGUUUAAAGCAAGCUUACGCUUGAAUACAUUAGCAUGGAAUAAUGAAAUAGGACAUCAGAUUCUAUUUUGUUGGUUUCUAGGAUCGAUGUAAUGAUUAAUAGGGAUAGUUGGUGGCAUUAGUAUACAAUUGUCAGAGGUGAAAUUCUUGGAUUUAUUGAAGACUAACUACUGCGAAAGCAUUUACCAAGGAUGUUUUCAUUAAUCAAGAACGAAAGUUAGGGGAUCGAAGACGAUCAGAUACCGUCGUAGUCUUAACCAUAAACUAUGCCGACUAGGGAUCGGAUGAUGUUAAUUUUUUAAUGACUCAUUCGGCACCUUACG
rnacentral:rRNA from 1 species